rnacentral:rRNA from 1 species
GACGAACGCUGACGGCGUGCUUAACACAUGCAAGUCGAAGGGAGUGGCGAACGGGUGAGUAACACGUGAGUAACCUGCCCUUUUCUUUGUGAUACGCCUGGUACACUGGGUCUACUACUGGCUGGCUUGGGAUGGGCUCGCGGCUUAUCAGCUUGUUGGUGGGGUGAUGGCUUACCACGGCUUUGACGGGUAGCCGGCCUGAGCGGGUGGUCGUUCACGCUGGGACUGAGAUACGGCCCAGACUCCUACGUGAGGGAGCAGUGGGGAAUAUUGCACAAUGGACGAAAGGCCGAUGCAGCGACGUCGUGUGGGGGAUGAAGGCCUUCGGGUUGUAAACUCCUUUCGCCCGCGGAAUGGUAGUGGGUAAAGAAGCGCCGGCUAACUACGUGCCAGCAGCCGCGGUAAUAC